rnacentral:rRNA from 1 species
CAGCCGCCACGGGAAUACGGAGGGUGCAAGCGUUAAUCGGAAUUACUGGGCGUAAAGCGCACGCAGGCGGUCUGUCAAGUCAGAUGUGAAAUCCCCGGGCUUAACCUGGGAACUGCAUUUGAAACUGGCAGGCUAGAGUCUUGUAGAGGGGGGUAGAAUUCCAGGUGUAGCGGUGAAAUGCGUAGAGAUCUGGAGGAAUACCGGUGGCGAAGGCGGCCCCCUGGACAAAGACUGACGCUCAGGUGCGAAAGCGUGGGGAGCAAACAGGAUUAGAGACCCCUGUAGUCCCUGUCUCUUAUAA